rnacentral:tRNA from 1 species
GGGUGUAGCUCAGUAGUAGAGCACAUGCUUAGCAUGCAUGAGGUCCCAGGUUCAAUCCUCAGUACAGCCA